AAUAUUGCGCAAUGGGGGGAACCCUGACGCAGCGACGCCGCGUGAAGGAUGAAGGUUUUCGGAUUGUAAACUUCUUUGGCCGGGGACGAAUAAAUGACGGUACCCGGUUAACAAGCCACGGCUAACUACGUGCCAGCAGCCGCGGUAAUACGUAGGUGGCAAGCGUUGUCCGGAAUUACUGGGUGUAAAGGGCGUGCAGGCGGGAGGGCAAGUCAGAUGUGAAACCCCACGGCUCAACUGUGGGCUUGCAUCUGAAACUGCUUUUCUUGAGUGUUGGAGAGGAAAGUGGAAUUCCUAGUGUAGCGGUGAAAUGCGUAGAGAUUAGGAGGAACACCAGUGGCGAAGGCGACUUUCUGGCCAACAACUGACGCUGAGACGCGAAAGCGUGGGGAGCAAAC
rnacentral:rRNA from 1 species